GUGAUAUAACUCUUCUCUAGGAUUUGCCUACAGGGUGCUUUGUGACAUAUCCCUGCAAUGAUCACCCAGGUGAUGUACCACUUGUCAAAGCUCUGCCUACAGGGACAUUGCGAUGUAUCUCUGCACUGAUCACCUAGGUCAUGUAACCGUUGUCUAGGCUCUGCCUACAGUGGCAUUGUGACAUAUCUCUGCACUGAUCACCCGAGUGAUGUAACUCUUCUCCAGGAUCUGCCUAACGGGACUUUGUGACAUAACUCUGCACUGAUCAUCCAGGUGAUGGGGCUUUUGUCUAGGAUCUGCCUAAGGGGGCAUUGUGACAUAUUUCUGCACUGAUCACCCAGGUGAUGGACUCUUGUCUUGGAUCUGCCUAUGGGGGCAUUGUGACAUAUCUCUGCACUGAUCACCCAGGUGAUGUAACUGUUGUAUAAGCUCUGCCUACAGGGUAAUUGUGAGAGAUCUCGCCACUGAUCAACCAACUGUUGUAACUAUUGUCUAGGCUUUGCCUACAGGGGGCUUUGUGACAUAUAUUUGCACUGAUCACCCAGGAGAUGUAACUUUUGUCUAGGCUCGGCCUACAGGGGCUUUGUGACAUAUUUCUGCACUGAUCACCCAGGAGAUGUAACACUUGUUUAGGCUCUGCCUACAGGUGCUCUGUGACAUAUGUCUGUACUGAUCACCCAGGUGAUGUAACUCUUGUCUAGGCUCCACCUACAGGGUGUAUUGUGACGUAUCUCUGCACUGAUCAACCAGGUGAUGUAACAUUUUUCUAGGCUCUGCCUACAG
rnacentral:lncRNA from 1 species